rnacentral:tRNA from 1 species
GCCCUAAUAGCUUAAUUCUUAAAGCAUUGGUCUUGUAAGCCAAAGACUGAAGUUUAAACUCUUCUUAGAGCU